rnacentral:rRNA from 1 species
GAUGACCGCUGGCGGCGUGCCUAAUACAUGCCAGUCGAGCGAACAGAUAAGGAGCUUGCCUCUUAGACGUUAGCGGCGGACGGGUGAGUAAAACGUGGGUAACCUCCCUUUAAGACUGGAGUAUAUCGGGGAAAACGGGGCUAUAGUCGGACAAACUAUAUACCCGCGAGAUUAUAAAGUGAAAGAUGGUUUUGCUAUCACAUAACGCUGGACCGGCGCCGUAUUAGCUAGUUGGAAAGGUAACGGCUUACCAAGGCAACGAUCCGUAGCUGACCUGAGAGGGUGAUCAGCCACACUGGAACUGAGACACGGUCCAGACUCCUACGGGAGGCAGCAGUAGGGAAUCUUCGGCAAUGGGCGAAAGCCUGACGGAGCAACGCCGCGUGAGUGAUGAAGGUCUUCGGAUCGUAAAACUCUUUUAUUAGGGAAGAACAAAUGUAUAAGUAUCUGUGCACGUCUUGACGGUACCUAAACAGUAAGCCACGGCUAACUUCGUG